AGAGUUUGAUCAUGGCUCAGGAUGAACGCUAGCUGGAGGCUUAAUACAUGCAAGUCGAGCGGGAUUGGUAGCAAUACCAUGAGAGCGGCGCACGGGUGAGUAACGCGUACACGACCUACCUCUGACAGGGGGAUAGCCCUGGGAAACUGGGAUUAAUACCGCAUAUUAUUCUGAUUAAUAAAGGAUUGGAAUGAAAGUUCAGGCGGUCAGAGAUGGGUGUGCGUCUGAUUAGCUAGUUGGUGGGGUAACGGCCUACCAAGGCGAUGAUCAGUAGGGGGCGUGAGAGCGUGGUCCCCCACACGGGUACUGAGACACGGACCCGACUCCUACGGGAGGCGGCAGUAAGGAAUAUUGGACAAUGGCCGCAAGGCUGAUCCAGCCAUCCAGCGUGCAGGAAGAAGGCCCUAUGGGUUGUAAACUGCUUUUAUCAGGGAAGAAACCUCUGGAUUUACUCCGGAGCUGACGGUACCUAAGAAUAGACGAUGGCUG
rnacentral:rRNA from 1 species